rnacentral:tRNA from 1 species
UAGAUGGAUGCUCGUUGGUUAGGGCGCUUAGCUGUUAACUAAGACCUCGGAGGAUCAAAGCCUCCUCAUCUAG